CCUACGGGUGGCUGCAGUGGGGAAUAUUGGACAAUGGGCGAAAGCCUGAUCCAGCCAUGCCGCGUGUGUGAAGAAGGCCUUCGGGUUGUAAAGCACUUUCAGUGGGGAAGAAAGCCUUGGGGCUAAUACCCUCGAGGAAGGACAUCACCCACAGAAGAAGCACCGGCUAACUCCGUGCCAGCAGCCGCGGUAAUACGGAGGGUGCGAGCGUUAAUCGGAAUUACUGGGCGUAAAGCGCGCGUAGGUGGUCUGAUAAGCCGGUUGUGAAAGCCCCGGGCUCAACCUGGGAACGGCAUCCGGAACUGUCAGGCUAGAGUGCAGGAGAGGAAGGUAGAAUUCCCGGUGUAGCGGUGAAAUGCGUAGAGAUCGGGAGGAAUACCAGUGGCGAAGGCGGCCUUCUGGACUGACACUGACGCUGAGGUGCGAAAGCGUGGGUAGCAAACAGGAUUAGAUACCCGGUAGUC
rnacentral:rRNA from 1 species